rnacentral:rRNA from 1 species
UACGUAGGGGGCAAGCGUUGUCCGGAAUCAUUGGGCGUAAAGAGCGCGUAGGCGGUUCGGUAAGUCUGCCGUGAAAACCCGGGGCUCAACCCCGGUCGUGCGGUGGAUACUGCCGGGCUAGAGGGUGGUAGAGGCGAGUGGAAUUCCCGGUGUAGCGGUGAAAUGCGCAGAUAUCGGGAGGAACACCAGUAGCGAAGGCGGCUCGCUGGGCCAUUCCUGACGCUGAGACGCGAAAGCUAGGGGAGCGAACAGG